AACGCACCUUGCGCUCCUUGGUAUUCCGAGGAGCAUGCCUGUUUGAGUGUCAUUUAAUUCUCAACCAUCCCUCGAUUCGUUUCGAGGGUUUGGCUUGGAUUUUGGGGGCUGCCGGGCGACCCUAGGGUCUUCGGCUCUCCUUAAAAGCAUUAGCGAUGGCGGCGCGAUCUAACCCCCCCCCAUGCAUGAACGGCCUUCGACGUGAUAAUGAUCGUCGUGGCUGGAGUGUUGUUAGUGGGUGUCGUGAAGUCGGCGCUUCUAAAGACCUCGUCGAAAGACGAAAACUCGAAACUUGACCUCAAAUCAGGUAGGACUACCCGCUGAACUUAA
rnacentral:misc_RNA from 1 species